GCUCGUCGGGCUCAUAACCCGAAGGUCGUAGGUUCAAGUCCUGCCUCCGCAACCA
rnacentral:tRNA from 15 species